AUUGAACGCUGGCGGCAGGCCUAACACAUGCAAGUCGAGCGGAUGAAGGGAGCUUGCUCCUGGAUUCAGCGGCGGACGGGUGAGUAAUGCCUAGGAAUCUGCCUGGUAGUGGGGGAUAACGUCCGGACACGGGCGCUAAUACCGCAUACGUCCUGAUGGAGAAAGUGGGGGAUCUUCGGACCUCACGCUAUCAGAUGAGCCUAGGUCGGAUUAGCUAGUUGGUAGGGUAAAGGCCUACCAAGGCGACGAUCCGUAACUGGUCUGAGAGGAUGAUCAGUCACACGGGAACUGAGACACGGUCCAGACUCCUACGGGAGGCAGCAGUGGGGAAUAUUGGACAAUGGGCGAAAGCCUGAUCCAGCCAUGCCGCGUGUGUGAAGAAGGUCUUCGGAUUGUAAAGCACUUUAAGUUGGGAGGAAGGGCAGUAAGUUAAUACCUUGCUGUUUUGACGUUACCAACAGAAUAAGCACCGGCUAACUUCGUG
rnacentral:rRNA from 1 species